UCUUCUUUGCAGGCAAGGCCGGUUUUACAGACCAGGAAACUGAGAGUCAGCGAGAUUAGGGCCCUUGUUCAAAGUGUCACAGCUGGUCAGCCCGAGGGAGACCAGGCCUCCAGACGCCAGCCUGGGACCCAGGCUUGCCUGUGGUUCCCAGGCUUGUGCCAGGCCUGCCCCUACUUCUGGCAGAAGGACCCCAGGACAUAACAGCUCUGGUCUGAGGGUUCAGCUGAUGUGGGCUAAACUAAGGACCUGCAAAGAUUUGUCUCGGAAUGGACAGUCGCUGGGAGAGUAAGGAUCCUGAGGAGCCCUUCAUUUUGCCCUUUCAGGCCUUCAGACCUCCGGCUUCCGGGCGCCUGUCUCCUCCAGGGUGCCCCUGUGGAUGACUCUGCACCCUCGGGAUACUGGGCAGGGGCCGCCCUUACAGAACCAGUUUGAAGCCAAAUAGUGUCACGUCAUAGUCCAUCUGAGCAGGAGGCCACAGCAGGUGAACACAAGUUAGUUCAAGGCCGUGAGUAUCCAUAGGGUCCCGGGGCAGACCAUGGCGCGUGUCCAGCAAGCUCCUUCCUGUCGUCCCCUGGGUACGCAGCCUGGCAAAGUGACCCCAAGGGCUCCCUUCUCCCCCUGUGGCCCACCUGCUGGGUCCCUCACCCUGGGGAGUGAAGUGGGGGGAACAGAAUGAGCGGCUCAGCCUUCCUACUAUUCAAUCUGAGUGGCUGUCUAGAACUCACGGAAGCCUUCUGAGAAGCUCGGUGGGAGGUCUGCCCUCCUCCAAAGGGAGGUAAGUGCCCCCAGGUACAGAUGUCUGGGGGGAAGCUGAGGAAAGCCUUGCAGAAUUGGGGUCCAGAGGCUGAGCCUCUGCAUGGGACAGGCCCUGGCCCUUCCCUUGAAGAUGGGAAGCCUGAGGCAGGUCCAGCCCUGGGGGGAUGGCCAGGGAAGGGAAGAGCUGGUGGUGGAGGUGAGCCGGAUGGGCGGCGAGCUCUGUGGGCCUCUUCCUAGAAUGGCCCUCACCUUGUGUGCUGGGGCGGGGUGACUAGGCUGGGGGCACUGCCGGAGAACAGUCAGCACCCCUGGCCAGAGCCUGGGAAAGGAAAUGGCCGAGGGACAUGCCGUCCGGCCCCUGCAAAGAGCUUCAGAGGAGGAGGCAGCAAAGAGGAAGCCCCCAUGGCCUCUUCCAGCACCCCCACUGCCUGCACACCCACGGGGGGUGAGCUCCAACCCACCCUUCCCCGGCUCCCUGCAGCUCCCACCCUCUCCUGCCCUGUGCCCCUGAUUCCUGGUGUUCUGCACAGCCAUCCGUGUUCCUCCCACUGGGUGAAGAACAGAGGUGGCUCUACCCCAGCAGAGGGACCCUCAUCUGUGUCCUGACGCCCUCAUAACUCAGUGAUGAUGGGGCCAGUCACACCUACUCCCUGGACCCCUGCAGCCACAUCUGUGAGCCCAGGGCGUGAGACCAGAACAGCCCUGAGCCAGCAUCCAGGCCAACUGUUGCCCCCACUACAUGGCUUCCCUAACCAGAUGGCACCCCCUCAUCCUCCCCUCACGCAGGGGGAGCUGAUGAAUAAUUGUGUCUUUUCCUCCCCAAUUCACAGGCUCCUCUCCAUGAUCCCACAUCAAGGGGUCUGCCAGUCAGGGGGCUCCCCUGGAAACAACCUAAAGCUGCCAUUCACCAUUGGAGUAGCUUUUUACAGUGUACCACGCAGCCACAUAUUAUCUGUGAUUUUGUGUAAUCUUCACUGCAAGGGGAAGACACUAUCACUCAGAGAGGUUAAGGCCCCUGCUUGCCCACGGUCACCGAGCUUGGAGGCAGCAGGAUCUAGAUUCACACCCAGGGGCCCCAGGCCCUCCCCCGGGCAGGCCUCCCCACCCGCAGGGGCCAGGGGCCGGCAGCCCUUCCUCCCUCCUGCUGCCUUUCGGGAAGCAUCCUAAGGUAUGUCUAGAGAGCGGCUAACUCUGUCCCAAGGCUCCUGCCGCUCCCAGAUCCCCAGAUCCGAGAGGGGCUUGAGCCAGGGGAGCCCAGCGGGGCCGGGCCUCCGCGUCUGCACUGCGGCCGCCUGCCCAGCCCGGGGAGGAAACCCUGCCCUUCCCCUGCCUGGCCCUCCCGCCAGGCCCUCCUCCCAGCAGCCUGCCAGGGCCUCCUGGCUCUCUGGAAAGGCUCCUGAACUCCCCCGUCCCUCCCCUCGCCCCGGGGUAGGUGGCUGCUGACCCAGUGCACACAGAGAUGCCCCGAUUCUUGGAAGUCUCCAGAAGAGAAACUCGGCGACCUUUGCUGGCCUGGCUGAGCCUCACAGCGUACAGCUGACUGUCCUCCUACGUCCAACCCCCACACCUCCUGCUCUCUUUGAAGAUCGGUCCCCUUUUGCUUAACACCCUCUCAGGGCACUCAGAGGGGAGGUCUCCACACUUUGGUCCUGGGGGUCUGUUCUGCUCGUGACCCUGGGAGGAGGCCGAGAUCCUGGCUGACAGCACAGCCCUCUUGUCCUCUUCCCCAGGUCAGGGCUCCUCCUCUCAACCUGCAUCUUCCUUAUUAAAGCUCGACAAAAGCCCAGUGAUGUCAAGUGAGGGGUGAUGCGGGCCAGGGAUGCCAAGAGUGGUUGGGCGGUGAGUGGCCAUGGGCCGUCUCAGCCGGGUGCUGGGCCCCACUGAAGCCAGCCAG